rnacentral:rRNA from 1 species
CCUACGGGUGGCAGCAGUGGGGGAUAUUGCACAAUGGAGGAAACUCUGAUGCCGCGACGCCGCGUGAGGGAAGACGGUCUUCGGAUUUUACACCUCUGUCUUUGGGGAAGAAAAUGACGGUACCCAAAGAUGCAGCUCCGGCUAACUACGUGCCAGCAGCCGCGGUAUUACGGAUGGAGCGAGCGUUGUCCGGAAUUACUGGGUGUAAAGGGAGCGUAGGCGGGCGGGAAAGUUGAAGGUUAAAUCUAUCGGCUUAACUGGUAGCUGCGUUCAAAACUUCUUGUCUUGAGUGAAGUAGAGGCAGGCGGAAUGCCUAGUGUAGCGGUGAAAUGCGUAGAUAUUAGGAGGAACACCAGUGGCGAAGGCGGCCUGCUGGGCUUUAACUGACGCUGAGGCUCGAAAGCGUGGGGAGCAAACAGGAUUAGAUACCCUAGUAGUC